rnacentral:lncRNA from 1 species
ACGUGUAUCAGAAAACCAAUGAAAUAAAUUACAUUUUGCACAUUGGAAUUGUAACUCUUGAUUUAAUAAAUUUUAUCAGGUACCAAAACAUUUGAAUGCCAGGAACAUCAGACCAUAAAAUUAGAAAGGAGGGGCAUGGUGGUCGAGAGUUCUAAGUAGUGGAACAACUGCAGUAUCACUAGUAUGUCAACACUGAGAUUGCGAGUUUGACUCCCACAUGUGGCAUAUGAUUUAAACUUUAAUUGACUGGGACUGACAAUCUUCCUACCGAAAGUCGGUUGUUCUCUACCAACCCGAGGGCUUUCUCCUCCAAUUAAAACUAACUGCCAAGAAAUAGUAGUCAAUUCUAGUGUUGACAUACGGUAUACCAUUUAUAUGUGUCAUCUCAUUAUAAAAACCAAAAAGUCUCCUAAAACUUUUUAUGUGCUUCCUUUAUUACCUUCAAUUUGUAAUAAAGGAUAAAUUCAAAUUACUCUGUUUUAGCACCAAAUUACCUGUUUGUGACAACUAUUUCUGUAGUACUUUUAAAUAUGACUAAUUGUUGAUCAUUUUGGUCAGUGGC